UACGUAGGGACCAAGCGUUGUCCCGGAAUCAUUGGGCGUAAAGAGCGUGUAGGCGGCUUGUUAAGUCUUGCGUGAAAUCUCGGGCUCAACCCCGAGCGGUCGUGAGAAACUGGCAGGCUAGAGUGCGGGAGAGGAGAGUGGAAUUCCUGGUGUAGCGGUGAAAUGCGCAGAUAUCAGGAAGAACACCCGUGGCGAAGGCGGCUCUCUGGAACGCAACUGACGCUGAGACGCGAAAGCGUGGGGAGCAAACAGG
rnacentral:rRNA from 1 species